GAUGAAGAACGCAGUGAAAUGCGAUAAGUAAUGUGAAUUGCAGAAUUCAGUGAAUCAUCGAAUCUUUGAACGCACAUUGCGCCCGCCAGUAUUCUGGCGGGCAUGCCUGUUCGAGCGUCAUUUCAACCAUCAAGCCCUGCUUGCGUUGGGGUCCUGCGGCUGCCCGCAGGCCCUGAAAACCAUUGGCGGGCUCGCUAGUCACACCGAGCGCAGUAAUACAUCUCGCUUUGGGCGUGCGGCGGGUUCUUGCCGUUAAACACCCCCUUUUUACCAAGGUUGACCUCGGAUCAGGUAGGAAUACCCGCUGAACUUAAGCAUAUCAAUAAGCGGAGGA
rnacentral:misc_RNA from 1 species